rnacentral:lncRNA from 1 species
UAUUUAAUGAAUCAUUUUGUUAGUCCCUAUCAUUGUGUGAUGAUAAAAACAUUUCUAUACCCAGCUCGAUGAGUAUAAACAAUGAUUACUUAAUUUAUCCUGAUUUUUCCUUUGUUAAAAAUUGAAAGAUUUUUGACGCUGUUUAAUCUCACACCUAACUACUAUGCAUCUUUUCCAGGUCAUUUUGCAAGUUGGAAUAUUAAAAGUACAACCCAAAUAAUCCAAAAUUUCUCGAUCUGGAAACUGGAUAAAGACAAUGUCAUUUUGCAAGUUGGAAUAUUAAAAGUACAACCCAAAUAAUCCAAAAUUUCUCGAUCUGGAAACUGGAUAAAGACAAUGUCAUUUUGCAAGUUGGAAUAUUAAAAGUACAACCCAAAUAAUCCAAAAUUUCUCGAUCUGGAAACUCUGGAUAAAGACAAUGUCAUUUUGCAAGUUGGAAUAUUAAAAGUACAACCCAAAUAAUCCAAAAUUUCUCGAUCUGGAAACUGGAUAAAGACAAUGUCAUUUUGCAAGUUGGAAUAUUAAAAGGACAACCCAAAUAAUCCAUGAUUUCUUGAUUUGGAAACUCUUGAUAAAGACAAUGCAAGGAUUCAUUUUGCUAAUAAAAUUAGUUGUUAGUAGCGCUUAAAGCCUUUUUCGAUAGCUUAAAUCUAUGUAUGGAUUGAUGUUUUUCUAUUUUGUGUGUUACUUUUUUGGUAUUCGUUCUAUAUCUCCUAGAAUCAUAAUAUGAGGUCACUUCAAUUGCGUCUUCUGUCUCUGGGAGGGAACAUUUUUUGAGGUG